GUCCUCUCUCGACACGAACGAAAUCUCAGUCCUCUCUCACACUCCUCUGCCUUUCUUCCCCGAUACACCUACCCAAAUCCCCAUAUCUCCUCCUCCUUGCUCUCAAAUCCUCAAAUCUCCUCCUCCUCGCCUUCAAACUAUGGUCAAUUGAAAAGAUGCAGAAGACUAAUAGACUCUUCAAGCUCCCUGUCACGAAACCCUAACAGACUAACAUCUCCAUGGCCGCCAACUGCGCUGCCGUAUCUUCUCCACCUCAGCGAAAAAGGACCAUGUCCGCUCUCGAAGCCCGAAUCUCCCGCCGCUCUCGCCACCCAAGCCUCCUCCGUCUCCCAGCAACAUAAAUUUUCAAAUCCCUUUCCCACAAUCUGAAAUUUUCCUUGAUUUUCAGGUUUAAUUGGUUCUGAUUUGGUUUUAACAUUUGGUGCUUUCCACCUCUGGUGGAUUCUCUGUUUCCGAAGAGACAUGCCGAGGAGUGCUUUCCACCUCUGAUGUUCUUGCAGGAGAUGUUUCAUUAACCACCAGUACAGGAACUCACUACAAAGGACUUGCAUGGAGUUGAAUGGCACUUUCGUCAUAUAUACCGUGGUCAUCCAAAGAGGCACUUGCUUACUAGUGGUUGGAGUACAUUUGUGACUGCCAAGAAACUUGUUCUUGGGGAUGCAUGUAUCUUUGUCAGAGGAGAAAAUGGAGAGCUCCGUGUUGGCAUACGCCGUGCGACCAAAAGACAAGCCAAUGCAACAGCUUCUCUCAUUUCUGGCAAUAGCAUGCAGCAUGGCAUCCUUGCGAGUGCUUUCCAUGCCAUUUCUACUGGAACCAUGUUUACCGUGUAUUAUCGCCCUUGGACCAGUCCUGAGCCAUUUCCAAGGUUUGAGAAUUGUAAAAAAGAAAAGGUAGAGACCCUUUAUGAGCGAGAGGUCGAGGCCUCCAUGGCAGCCACCUACUAUUGACCUAUUUCCAGAUUUGGGUCUUGGUGAGCUUGUUUGAAUUACCUUUUAGUUCAAGAUUGUUCGAGUUGACGAGUUCUAUGGUGGCUAAAUCUGGGUUUUGAAUUUAAUGUUCAAGGGAGCUCUUUGAUGUUGCUGCUGUAAGUUUAUCUCCAUUUAAGGUAUAUGUUUCUUUUGUUAAUAUCAGCCCUCUGCUCUGUGGUUUGAUAUGCCAGUGAUUUGUGUUCCAAGUGAGCAUGUUCAUGUGUUGCAGGUGCAUUUAUAUUUCUUGUUACUCCUUGUGGUCUUAUAAUAAUGGUCAAGUUUCCAAGUAGCAUAGGUAGAAACACAGACACCAUAUAACCAAUUCAGAACUCUCUCACGUACACAGAGAUGCUCUAUCAUAUAUGUUUUGAAUCACUAUAAAAAGUUGAUUGCUAAAUGUUGCUGCAUGGUGAUGAUCUGUUGGCAAAUAAUUUUGCUUCUUGUUGGUUCUGAUCUGAUCACACUGUCCCUAGUUGGAUGAGGGGCAAAUUCAUCAUGUAAAAUAUAAUAUUGAUUGUUUUCCUCUUUCUUGAUGAAGGCCUUGGUGCCUAACAACUACCACUUGAGUUUUUCAGAAAGCACAAAUCUUCCUUCCCCAGUUCUGCUACCAAUGUACGAUUCUCUUAGCACAAAUAUAAAUUGUAUUUUCUCUAUGACGGUAAGAUGAAACACAUGUUAUUGCUUUCAUUUCACUUAUUGAAGAUGGGAAGGGGUAGUUAACCAAUUCAAUCUAGCGUCUUGUGUUUAUGUUCCAUUCGUGUAACAUUUCUCUGUCACUGCAUUUGCUUUGACUCUAGUGAUAUUUCGUUGUUGGAGUAUGAGUCUCCGUCUGGGUUAGGGCCCGCCUUUAAUAAUAUCCAGUUGUAACUCUUUAAAAUGUUCUGAUGAAUACAAUUCUUCUUCUUCUUGGCCUAACUCUUAAAGUUGAGUAAUUUGUAACGGGCCCAUGUGCCGAUUUGGUUGAAUUGUGUCAAAUAUCAAAUAUGGUUCUCAUCUUCUCUCAGCCUCAAGAUCCUUAUUUCAUAGUUGAGAUCAUUGUCUCAUGUUUCUAAUUAUUUGACCAAGUAUUAUUCCCUUGUUAGUGCUUAAAGUCAUAACAUGCUACUUAUGCUUGCAAGGAUAAUAAGGUGUUGCCAUAAAGCUUAUAAUUAUACAGCUAUGUAUUUUUUUUUCUAUUUAGAAUUGCAGAUUUCACAAAACUAUCCUAAGCUAGGAUUGCAGAUCAUUGUUAAGGUUGGCUCUGUUCUAUCCUAAGCUAAAUGUCAUUUUUGUUGUCCUUAAGAGAAAGAACAUGUCCAUUUUGUAUCUAGAGUCUUGAGUCAUGUACUCAUGUGCUAAUGGUGAAAAUCAAUGUAUUUAUAUUGUGAUUUCUGGACUUUCCUGGUUUUGGUUUCACUUGCAUUUUCUGUUCUUUGCUGUUAAUUUCCUACAUUUUCGUUUUCUUGUUUCACUGCUCUUUCUUCACAUUCCCAUGCAGCUUUGUAUUAUCUUUCUUCUGCAACCAUUAAAUGAUGUUGUGCCUGAUGCAGACAUUGUCAAAUUUCAUCAAAUCACUAAACAAGUUUGCAUUUGCAGGCCAAUUGGGGGAGUGAGACAUUCCAAGUUUUGUUGAAGCCAAAGACAGUUGAAGGCUAAGAGCUAUCGAGAAUAGGAAUGUUUUUCAUUCUUGUGUAGCUAACUAGGAAUUUUCUUGUUUAGUGCAUCAUCUAGUUACUUGAAUGUAUGAAUGCUUGAAUAAUGGUACUUGAAUGAAAUGGAUUAGAGUAUUAUUUAUUUGGUAAUA